rnacentral:rRNA from 1 species
AGGCCUUGCGCUCUUUGAGCGGCCGAUAUCAGAUUAGCUAGUUGGUGAGGUAAAGGCUCACCAAGGCGACGAUCUGUAGCGGGUCUGAGAGGAUGAUCCGCCACACUGGAACUGAGACACGGUCCAGACUCCUACGGGAGGCAGCAGUGGGGAAUUUUGGACGAUGGGGGCAACCCUGAUCCAGCCAUGCCGCGUGAGUGAAGAAGGCCUUCGGGUUGUAAAGCUCUUUCGGCCGGGAAGAAAUCGCAUGGGCUGAUACCCUGUGCGGAUGACGCUACCGGCAUAAGAAGCACCGGCUAACUACGUGCCAGCAGCCGCGGUAAUACGUAGGGUGCGAGCGUUAAUCGGAAUUACUGGGCGUAAAGCGUGCGCAGGCGGUUUUGUAAGACAGGCGUGAAAUCCCCGGGCUCAACCUGGGAACUGCGUUUGUGACUGCAAGGCUAGAGUACGGCAGAGGGGGGUGGAAUUCCACGUGUAGCAGUGAAAUGCGUAGAGAUGUGGAGGAACACCAAUGGCGAAGGCAGCCCCCUGGGUCGAUACUGACGCUCAUGCACGAAAGCGUGGGUAGCAAACAGGAUUAGAUACCCUGGUAGUCCACGCCCUAAACGAUGUCAACUAGGUGUUGGGUGGGUAAAACCAUUUAGUACCGGAGCUAACGCGUGAAGUUGACCGCCUGGGGAGUACGGCCGCAAGGUUAAAACUCAAAGGAAUUGACGGGGACCCGCACAGGCGGUGGAUGAUGUGGAUUAAUUCGAUGCAACGCGAAAAACCUUACCUACCCUUGACAUGUCCAGAAGCCUGAAGAGAUUUGGGUGUGCCCGAGAGGGAACUGGAACACAGGUGCUGCAUGGCUGUCGUCAGCUCGUGUCGUGAGAUGUUGGGUUAAGUCCCGCAACGAGCGCAACCCUUGUCGUUAAUUGCCAUCAUUCAGUUGGGCACUUUAACGAGACUGCCGGUGACAAACCGGAGGAAGGUGGGGAUGACGUCAAGUCCUCAUGGCCCUUAUGGGUAGGGCUUCACACGUCAUACAAUGGUCGGUACAAAGGGCUGCCAAGCCGCGAGGUGGAGCCAAUCCCAGAAAGCCGAUCGUAGUCCGGAUCGUAGGCUGCAACUCGCCUGCGUGAAGUCGGAAUCGCUAGUAAUCGUGGAUCAGCAUGUCACGGUGAAUACGUUCCCGGGUCUUGUACACACCGCCCGUCACACCAUGGGAGCGGGUUCCGCCAGAAGUAGGUAGCCUAACCGCAAGGGGGGCGCUUACCACGGCGGGGUUCGUGACUGGGGUGAAGUCGUAACAAGGUA